rnacentral:lncRNA from 1 species
GACUUUACUCAGCCUUGAGACACAGCUCUAGCGAUGACUCUGCUAUCUGGAAACUGUUUUUUCCCCAGCAACAUUUUGAUCUCGGGUCAAAGCCUUGGGCAAGGGACUGCUGCUGCUGCUGCUGCUGCUGCUGCUGCCUCUCGGGGCGCUGCAAUGGUUUCACCAGAGACAGAUUGUUGCAUCGCUGCUUGAGUAUCAUUGACUUUUAUCCUACUAACCACUUCGGAGAAUUGUCACAGGAACUACACAGCCUGUAAUCUCAGCACUUGGGAGCCUAAGAUAGCAGGAUCGCUGGGAGUCUGAGGCCAGCUUAUGCUACAUGGUGAGUUCAAAGCCAGCCCGAA